ensembl:misc_RNA 7SK 7SK RNA
GGGUAGGAGGGCCAUUUGGCUAUGACACGUGUCACACCAUUGAUGGCCACAGUUGAUUUUGCUGAUCAGGCUGGGCAGGUGGUGUCCCCUUCCUCCCUCACUGCUCCACAUGCAUCCCUCCUCAUCAAAGAGGAUGACCUUCCCUGAUAGAGGAGGACUGUUCUUUGGUCAAGAAUAUACAAGUAGAUGGGACGCCUGGGUGGCUCAAGCGGUUGAGCAUCUGCCUUUAGCUCAGGGCAUGAUCCUGGAGUCCUGUGAUUGAGUCGUGAGUCGGGCUCCCUGCAUGGAGCCUGCUUCUCCCU